rnacentral:rRNA from 1 species
AUAUCAAUAAGCGGAGGAAAAGAAACUAACAAGGAUUCCCCUAGUAACUGCGAGUGAAGCGGGAAAAGCUCAAAUUUAAAAUCUGGCGGCCUCUGGUCGUCCGAGUUGUAAUUUAGAGAAGCGUCUUCCGCGCUGGACCGUGCACAAGUCUCCUGGAAUGGAGCGUCAUAGAGGGUGAGAAUCCCGUCUUUGGCACGGAUGCACCAGGGCUUUCGUGAUGCGCUCUCGAAGAGUCGAGUUGUUUGGGAAUGCAGCUCAAAAUGGGUGGUGAACUCCAUCUAAAGCUAAAUAUUGGCGAGAGACCGAUAGCGAACAAGUACCGUGAGGGAAAGAUGAAAAGCACUUUGGAAAGAGAGUGAAACAGUACGUGAAAUUGUUGAAAGGGAAACGCUUGAAGUCAGUCGCGUCGACCGAGACUCAGCCUUGCCUCGGCUCGGUGUACUUCUCGGCCGACGGGUCAGCAUCAAUUUUGCCCCUCGGAUAAUGGCGAGAGAAAGGUGGCACCCUCACGGGUGUGUUAUAGUCUCCCGUCGGAUGCGAGGGUCGGGAUUGAGGAACUCGGCACGUACCGUGCUUAGGAUGUUGGCAUAAUGGCUUUAAACGACCCGUCUUGAAACACGGACCAAGGAGUCUAACAUGCCCGCGAGUGUUCGGGUGGAAAACCCGUGCGCGUAAUGAAAGUAAAAGUUGGGACCCCUGUCGUGGGGGGCACCGACGCCCGGACCAGACCUUCUGUGACGGAUCUGCGGUAGAGCGUGCAUGUUGGGACCCGAAAGAUGGUGAACUAUGCCUGAAUAGGGUGAAGCCAGAGGAAACUCUGGUGGAGGCUCGUAGCGAUUCUGACGUGCAAAUCGAUCGUCAAAUUUGGGUAUAGGGGCGAAAGACUAAUCGAACCAUCUAGUAGCUGGUUCCUGC